rnacentral:rRNA from 1 species
UACGGGAGGCAGCAGUGGGGAAUAUUGCACAAUGGGCGAAAGCCUGAYGCAGMGACGCCGCGUGAGGGAUGACGGCCUUCGGGUUGUAAACCUCUUUCAGCAGGGACGAAGCGCAAGUGACGGUACCUGCAGAAGAAGCACCG